rnacentral:rRNA from 1 species
UGGGGAAUUUUGGGCAAUGGGCGAAAGCCUGACCCAGCGACGCCGCGUGAAGGAAGAAGGUCUUCGGAUUGUAAACUUCUGUCAACAGGGACGAAACAAAUGACGGUACCUGUGGAGGAAGCCACGGCUAACUACGUGCCAGCAGCCGCGGUAAUACGUAGGUGGCGAGCGUUAUCCGGAUUUACUGGGUGUAAAGGGUGUGUAGGCGGGGAGGCAAGUCAGAUGUGAAAACUAUGGGCUUAACCCAUAAAGUGCAUUUGAAACUGUUUCUCUUGAGGAUCGGAGGGGUAAAUAGAAUUCCCGGUGUAGCGGUGGAAUGCGUAGAUAUCGGGAGGAAUACCGGUGGCGAAGGCGAUUUACUGGACGAUUACUGACGCUGAGACACGAAAGCGUGGGGAGCAAACAGG